GUCUUUUGCUUAAUAGACUCCACACUACACGCCGUUUUUGUGCUUUAAAGACUCCACUACACGCCGUUUCAUAAGCAGACAAAAUCCCGUGUAGGGAGAGAGUCCAAUCGAUCAAACUUGUCACUAAUCUUUCUCCGACAAACCCUGCCUGAGACUCCGAGGAAUAAGACGACUUUGCCAUCCACUGAAAGCAUAACUCCUCUCGAUAAAAGAUCGAUUCGGUUCACCGGUCUCGUCUCUCACCGAAAAGCUUCUGACAACCUUCCAACUUGAGGAAGACGAGUCGUCGCUGGAGAAUAUACUAGACGAAUGGAGGAGCUGGAUUUUUUCAAGUCCCCCGACGAGUUUCCACCAAGACGUGGUGGCUAUGGCCUGGUACAUGUAGAUUGUGUUGGAAAGCGUGGAUACACUAACAGUGCCUUGGUGAAUCUUUAUGCCAAGCUCGGCCUUCAUCGCUACAACUGGUUAGAGGGGACAAACUUUGAGCUAGAUAGCAUAAUGAAAUUCAACAUGCGUGGUGCUGCAUCUCCUUACUACAUAACCUUGGUUGCGUGCCUUCCAUCCAGCGGUUUGCAGCAGAUCUUUCAGGUUCUCGUAGAGGAAGAACGUCUUGGCAUUUUAGAUUUGACAUGCCCCAUCUCUAGACCUCAAGGGACCGAGAGUUCAAAGAAGGAGUCAACUCCUUUCUUACGUCCACAUUCCGAGCCAGUGUCUGCUACCCACCAAGACAGAUUGCUUGGCUGGACCAAGUCAGUAAUUCCAUGGCCCUCCUCCGAGAUUGGUUUCAGUGACACAAAGCGUUUUUACAUGUUGAAUGAAUCUGAGUUGCAAUGUGAUUGGAUUUCUUUGUAUGUGGAACUUGCAAUCUGUACUUCCCAUAGGUGGUUUAAAGCUAGGGAUCUCUCUAACUUUGAGUUGGAGAUUGUCCAAGUGGCCAUAGAAUCUCUUCAUGAUAAGGAGCCACCAAGUCUCAAGUCUAAAGCUGCGGUCAUCUACAUAGCAUACAAGGAUUUGGCCAAGGCUAGGACUGGUGAGCCUUAUCACUACCAAGUUGUGGUGAGACGAGUCAUCAACGAAGCUACAGGAACAUUGAGCAUCCAAGGUGAUUGCUGGAUUGCAGCAGCAGCAACGGCUUCGGGCCUCCGCUCUUCCCCCACGAGUUGAUUACCAAACUCUAUUUAAGACAUUUGAAGAUGCCUAUCGGAUAGUAGUAAUUAGUGAUGCUUAUGUGUUGUGUGCUUUUGGUCUCUAUUUAAGACAUCGGAUGACUAUGUACUUUGUGCUUUUGGUCUCUCUGUUUUAAGACAUUUGAAGAUAUUUGUCUUUUGGGGACAAAGAUGAUGUGAAUGUGGGAGUAUUAUACCAUUCUUACUAGAGCCAGAGACAGAUUCGGAACCGCUUGCUCUUCUUGGAGUUGCGUUAACAAUGCUAGAUGAACUUUUACCAAGAUCACUUGUUAAAAGACUGGAACCUCAAGAUUGAAAACGGUGGAGGAUGGUGGUGAUAGUAGUAAUCACUAGCUCUGCAUCGGAGCUGAAAGAGUGGAAACGCCACAUGGUUCAUUCACGGUUAGAUGCACCAGAUGACUUGCAUCUUCCCUUAUUACCGCUUCAGGCACUGUUUUCAAAGCUACAACAGUUGGCCACCAUUGCUGGCUGACAGAGAGUGAUAAUCUGGCUGUCAAACGAGGAGGAGUUUUGGAGUGCGUUUGAGGACGAGUCAGCCAUCUGGUUUGCAACCGUGGAGAUAGCCAGGUUCGCGGGUAUCCAUUUAAAGUGGUACAGAACCAUGCAUCAGUGGUGAUCAAUAGAGCCAUCAACAUAUUCUCCUCAAGAGGCAUCAACCCACAAAGCUCGCUCCCGAAGGCGGAGUGGUUCACGGAAGCAGCCAAGUCAGCUAUCAACUGUUGUGAAUGAGCCUUCUUUACCUCCUCCUAAUACAGACCCAAGUCCAGAAAGCCUUGGCGCUGCUGCUUCACGUCCUCUUCGGCAGGGUAACGGUUCUGGUGGUCCCUAUUUAUAACCAGCAGCAAAGGAGUAAUGUUGCUGGUCCGCCUCCACCUAAUCGACAAAACGGAAAUAAUGCUCCGGGGAAUUUUGCAUAACUGAAAGUAUGUUCAUGUUCUUCAAAUGCUUUAGUGUCCUCAUUUGGAGAAGGCCAUUCACUCACUUCACCUUACUUUAGAACUGAGUGAAGUUAUUUGGCAGUGGUGGUGUUUAGAGUUGCGUGGGUUUUCAAGAGAGGGACUGUACAAGAGAAGACUUUCUGGCUUGUUUGAUAGUGGGUGUGCUGAUUGGGUUGUGGUUAAGAGCAAGAGAACUGGAUCUUCUUGAUAAAGAUGUUAGAAAAAAGAGGAGAAAUGAAUGACCGAUUUUACAUGAAGUUAUGAAUCUUCAUUGGCUGAAGGAAAGAGACAAUGUAUUGGUACAUAUGAAGAGUCAUCUGCUACUAGGUUGGGUACAACGAAAGCUUUGAAGACUUGGCUACAGUCAAUGGAGUUGGACCAUCGGUUUUGAAAGGAUAACCUUGUGGGCAAGAGAAAAAUACAAUGGACAACUUGGGGUGGAAAGAGUUUAGUGGAAAGGAUGGGGUUUUGACAAAAACACUCAAGGCACGCAUUGGUAUGGAACAUACACCAAGAGAGUUUCUGUGCAGCUCCUCACUUGCAUUGAAGAUGCAUAGUAGUGUCGAUGCUACCAACGAGGGAGAUAGUGUUGUAUAUGAGGAAGAGAAAGUGCAGCCUGAGUCCAGGAGUAACUUCACUUUUAAAGAAAGAUUUACAGCUGAAAGUAACGUCAAGAGAAGAUCUAACUAGAGGGUUAGAAAAGACGAGUAGAUUACUUCUUAAGGAGGAGCAGUUAACACUGCAACCAAUUAAUAGUUUGUAGUUUAAAUCAAGAACGUUCAUGUAACCCGUUUCAAAAUGGCAUAAAAUUUAUAACUGCUA